GGGGCGAGUUCGGUCUGGUGGCACCUCCGCCUGGAUCCUCCUCUGAUUGAUUCAUGCUACACAUAUGCAAGGUGCAGAAUCCUCCUGGACAGCUCUACGUCAUGUCACCAUUGGCCGGUCCCGUGGGUUACGAAGACAAUCAAUUUGACGAUUUCAUUGGCUUCCUCCACCCGUUCUGCAAUACCUUGAUGCCUCCAUUAAUUGAAGCUGGACGACGACUGGAAUGCGAGAGACCAUGAAGUCCAAGUGGUUGAUAUAUUGUGCACCCCUCUGUCCAGCUUUUGAUGAGAUUGCAGAGUUAGAUUUUCAGCACACAAGUGAUCAGGCGUAGCUUAUCUCCUCGGGGUCGUAAUACUAUGGUUCCUUGCUGCUGUUGAAUCCAAACUGACGAAAGAGAGGCUCUCCGUGGGAAAUUCACCAGCGACUGGUCGCUACCGCUAUGACGGGGCCUUCUGUACUUCUUAUUGUGUCGCUCGCUGGAGGUUUGAUGGACAUAUCGUUUUUUGAAGUAAAUUAUGUGGCGGCCAUCAAGGCUCCGGCGGCACAGCAUUUUGCCAUCCCCGGCACCAUUCAAGGUCGUCAUCCACCUCUCCUAUCCCAACUCAGCAGGGCAGUAGUAACCCUCAAUCCCAUCUUCCCUGGUCUGUUCUUCUCAUUUUGAAUUCAUAAUCAAACCUCCGGCUGCCACCUCAUAUGGGAACUACAGAGAGUUCAACAGUGAGAAGAAAGUAAAAUUCAAAGAAACGAAACCAAUCUGUUGAGUUCUCGCCACCGGGGAACAAAUCACUGGACGUGGCAACGUUUGAUCGGUGGAAGUUACUGUGGACGAAGAGAUCAAGGAAACAUCUCCAAGCGCUGCAUUUGAAAUCAUCGAUCAGGUUCCAGCGUGUCCAAUUGUGCAGUGAUCAAGUUUAACAGUUGCUCAUCUGAUUGUUUCGUGUUACACUGGUGCAAACUGGAGAAGCCUCCUCUGCAUCUUGCUGUUGUUGCGCUCUACUGUGUGUUCUUUGACUAGGGAAAUACUUGAUUGACAAGUACAUGGUGACCACCUGCUGAUCGAUGCCUCACCGGCUGCUCACAUCUGUUCUAUGAGAUUUGAUGGCAAAAUUACAAUCUGUGACACGCUACCAUGCAACACUAAUGAU